UUUUUCUCAUUAUAUGACUUU
rnacentral:piRNA from 1 species